rnacentral:misc_RNA from 1 species
UUGAAAUUUAAUGAAGAGUUUGGUUGUAGCUGGCCCAUUAAUAUUUGGGCAUGUGCACACCUUCCUCUUUCAUCCCACACACACCUGUGAACCUGUGAGACAGAUUGGGGAAUUUACUUGCUGCUUUUUGGAAUACAAAAGGCAAUAGGUUAUUGGACCCUCUGUCUACUCAAUUUAUAUAAAAUCAAUUUAUUUUAAAACGAAUGUAAUGGAUGUAACACAUCUCAUAC